CUUCACCCCUGCCAGCGACGCGUGGGCUUUUGGGGUGACGCUGUGGGAGGUGCUGACCCGGUGCAGGGAGCAGCCCUACGGGGCGCUGAGCGAUGAGCAGGUGAUCGCCAACGCGGGCCGCCACUGCCGAGGCCAUGGGGAGGUGAGAACUGGGACAAACUGGGCUCAACUGGGAGGGGUUGGGGUCGUACUGGGAGCACUGGGGCCGUAUUGGGGCCGUACUGGGAGCAUUGGGGCCGUACUGGGAGCACUGGGGCCGUAUUAGGGUCAUAGUGGGAGCAAUGGGCCCAUACUGGGAGCACUGGGGCAAUAUUGGGGCUGUACUAGGGUCAUACUGGGAGCACUG
rnacentral:lncRNA from 1 species